AUGUCCAGCAGAAACAACAACAAGCUGCCCAGCAACCUGCCGCAGUUACAGAAUCUGAUCAAGCGAGACCCACCGCCCUACAUCGAGGAGUUUCUACAGCAGUGUAAUCACUACACAUCCAGUGUGGAGAUUUUCAAAUUGCAACCAAAUAAACCCAGCAAAGAACUAGCAGAACUGGUAAUGUUUAUGGCACAGAUUAGUCUCUGCUACACAGGGUAUCUAAGUAAUUUUCCUCAAGUGGUGAAAGAUCUUCUGUCCUGUAAUCAUACCGUAUUGGAUCCAGAUCUUCGAAUGACGUUUUGCAAAGCUUUGAUCUUGCUGAGAAAUAAGAAUCUCAUCAAUCCAUCAAGCCUACCAGAGCUCUUCUUUGAACUUCUAUGUUGCCAUGAUAAGCUUCUGCAAAAGACUUUAUACACACAUAUUGUGACUGAUAUCAAGAAUGCAAACACAAAACACAAGAAUAAAGUGGAUGUAGUGUUGCAAAAUUUCAUGUACACCAUGUUAAGAGAUAGCAAUGCAACCACAGCCAAGAUGUCUUUAGAUGUUAUGACUGAACACUACAGAAGGAACAUCUGGAAUGAUACCAAAACUGUCAGUGUUAUCACAACUGCCUGUUUCUCUAAGGUCACCAAGAUAUUAGUUGCUGCUAUGACAUUCUUUCUUGGGAAAGAUGGAGAUGAAAUACAGGACAGUGACUCCGAAUCUGAGGAUGACGGACCAACAGCAAGAGACCUGCUAGCACAAUAUGCUAUAGGGAAGAAAAGUUCCCAAAACAAGAAAACAUUGGAAAAGGGAAUAAAAGUGCUCAAGAAACAAAAGAAGAAGAAAAAACCAGAGGUGUUUAACUUUUUAGCUGUUCACUUGAUUCAUGAUCCCCAAGAUUUUGCAGAAAAACUACUAAAGCAGCUUGAAUGCUGUAAGGAGAGGUUGGUAGUGAAGAUGAUGCUCAUGAACCUCAUCUCCAGAUUGGUGGGAAUUCAUGAGCUCUUCCUCUUCAAUUUCUGUCACUUUUUGCAAAAGUUUCUGCAGCCCACCAAAGAGAAGUAACAAAGAUCCUUGUUUGCUGCACAAGCAUCUCAUCACCUAGUACACCCAGCGAUUAUUCAAUCAUUGCUUAUGACUGUGGCCAACAAUUUUGUUACUGACAAGAACUCUGGAGAAGCCAUGACAGUAGGAAUCAAUGCUAUAAAAGAGAUAACAGCUCAGUGUCCUCUGGCCAUGACUGAAGAGCUUCUCCAAGACCUGGCCUGGCUCAGUAUAAACCACACAAGAAUAAGAAUGUAAUGAUGUCUGGUAGAACUUUGAUUCAGCUCUUCCAAACACUGAAUCCUCAGAUGCUGCAGAAGAAAUUCUGGGGUAAGCCUACAGAAGCCUUUGGAGAAGCAAGAGUACAGUAAUAUGGAGAAUUAGAUGCUAAAGAUUACAUUCCAGGAGCAGAAGUUCUGGAAGUUGAGAAAGAGGAGAAUGCUGAAAAUGAUGAAGAUGGAUGGGGAAGUACCAGUCUCAGUGAGGAGGAGGAUGCCGAUGGAGAAUGGGUUGAUGUUCAACACUCUUCCGAUGAAGAACAGCAAGAAAUUUCCAAGAAGCUGAACAGCAUGCCCAUGGAAGAGCAGAAAGCCAAAGCAGCAGCCAUCAGCACCAGUAGAGUUUUAAGUCAGGAAGACUUCCAGAAAAUCCGCAUUGCCCAAAUGAGAAAAGAACUUGACGCUGGCCCCUGAGAAAUCCCAGAAGAGGAAAUAUAUUGAAAUCGACAGUGAUGAAGAGCCCAGGGGUGAAUUACUUUCUCUUCGGGACGUUGAACGCCUUCAUAAAAAGCCAAAGCCAAAGUCUGACAAAGAGACAAGAAUAGCAACUGCAAUGUCUGGAAAGACAGACUGAAAAGGAUUUGUGAGGAAGAAAACCAAAAUGAAUCCAUUUUCCAGUUCAAAAAGUAAAGAGAAGAAAAAACAGAAGAACUUUAUGAUGAUGCUGUAUAGCCAGAAUGUCUGGUCAAACAAUAAGCGUUCCUUCCGAGAAAAAUAGUUGGCGCUGCGAGAUGCACUUUUGAAAAAGAGAAAAAGAAUGAACUUCCCAGAAAGUUUUCCAUUCCAAGAAGAAUGCUAA